GGAGAUCGCUAUCAAAACUCCGCGACAAGAACUCCAAGACUCUCUUGUAUUGGUACUUUCAAGCACAAGAUGGAGCAGCUCAGAAGCCACUGUGGCUCAAUGGAUAUGAAGACCACGAAGCAUGUGCACGCAGUUGGCUUGCAUUGGGUUUCGUAGUUUUUGCUGAGAUAAAAAUUUGACAUAGAGGCAAAGAGAUUUCUAGUUGCUUCGAUUGCUUUGGGUCCGAGAGAUUGUGAAUAUUAGGGCUCAAGGUCUUGGAUUAUAAAGGGUAGUGAUCGACUUUAGUAAAUAACAGAUUACCAAUGGAAUACCGCCACGAUGAAAGGGAGAGAGGCAGAGAUAACACGGGGAAAAGGUAGACAAACAAAGCAUUUUCAUCAUCGUUUGCCAAUUACAGAAACAGAGAGAAAGAAAGCAUUUUCAUCAUCGUUUUCAUGAAUUUGGCACUGCCAACUGUAGAGCACGAUACCUUCUGGAUUAAAUGUUUUACAGGUUCUCUUAGCAAUUCUAGAUGAAAGAUCAUGAGCAUGGUUACUUACUUUUUUCUUCUUCAAGACAUUUUCUGUGUUAAAGGUUCUCUUAGCAAUUCUAGAUGAAAGAUCAUGAGCAUGGUUACUUACGUUUUCUUCUUCAAGACA